rnacentral:rRNA from 2 species
UGGGGAAUAUUGGACAAUGGGCGAAAGCCUGAUCCAGCCAUGCCGCGUGAGUGAUGACGGCCCUAGGGUUGUAAAGCUCUUUCGCAGGUGAAGAUAAUGACGGUAACCUGAGAAGAAGCCCCGGCUAACUUCGUGCCAGCAGCCGCGGUAAUACGAAGGGGGCUAGCGUUGUUCGGAAUUACUGGGCGUAAAGCGCACGUAGGCGGACUAUUAAGUCAGGGGUGAAAUCCCGGGGCUCAACCCCGGAACUGCCUUUGAUACUGGUAGUCUUGAGUCCGAGAGAGGUGAGUGGAAUUCCGAGUGUAGAGGUGAAAUUCGUAGAUAUUCGGAGGAACACCAGUGGCGAAGGCGGCUCACUGGCUCGGUACUGACGCUGAGGUGCGAAAGCGUGGGGAGCAAACAGG